rnacentral:lncRNA from 1 species
CAACAGGUUAAUAGAGUUCCUAAGUAACAGCCAAACAAGGCCAGGAAAAGAAACAGAGAAUGAGUGGAAAAAUAAAUAGAAAGAGAAAGCAGAGUAACAGCCAACCAAGGCCAAGAAAAGAAACAGAGAAUGAGUGGAAAAAUAAAUAGAAAGAGAAAGCAGAGAGGGAAAGAAACAAAGCCAUAAAAUUUGAUAUUUACGUCGCCUCCUCCAAGGAAUAUAUUCGUAGCUCAUACAUAACCCGAUGGGCUGCAAUAGGAUGUCUGGUAGGUGAAGUUGCAGCACCCAUGGCAUCAUGGUGAAGUUGUCCUUGAAAACCAGGUUCAGCUUCCAUGUUAGGCAGAAUACAUGCAACACAAGCUGCUAAAAUUGAAAACCAGGAUCAGCUUCCAUGUUAGGCAGAAUACAUGCAACACAAGCGGCUAAAAACCUCCCACAUGGUGAAAAGUGGGCUCCCAUUUCACUGAAAUAGACAAUAUA